rnacentral:rRNA from 1 species
GACGAACGCUGGCGGCGUGCUUAACACAUGCAAGUCGAACGGAAAGGCCCUGCUUUUGUGGGGUGCUCGAGUGGCGAACGGGUGAGUAACACGUGAGUAACCUGCCCUUGACUUUGGGAUAACUUCAGGAAACUGGGGCUAAUACCGGAUAGGAGCUCCUGCUGCAUGGUGGGGGUUGGAAAGUUUCGGCGGUUGGGGAGGGACUCGCGGCUUAUCAGCUUGUUGGUGGGGUAGUGGCUUACCAAGGCUUUGACGGGUAGCCGGCCUGAGAGGGUGACCGGCCACAUUGGGACUGAGAUACGGCCCAGACUCCUACGGGAGGCAGCAGUGGGGAAUAUUGCACAAUGGGCGGAAGCCUGAUGCAGCAACGCCGCGUGCGGGAUGACGGCCUUCGGGUUGCAAACCGCUUUCGCCUGUGACGAAGCGUGAGUGACGGUAAUGGGUAAAGAAGCACCGGCUAACUACGUG